ACGGCUGAGUAACACAUGGGUACCUUCCUCGAACUCAGGGAUAUCCCGCCGAAAGGCGGAGUAAUACCGGAUAGUCCCGCAAGGGUAAAGAUUUAUCGGUUCGAGAGGGGCCUGUGCCCUAUCAGGUAGUUGGUGAGGUAACGGCUCACCAAGCCAAUGACGGGUAGCUGGUCUGAGAGGACGACCAGCCAGAAUGGGACUGAGACACGGCCCAUACUCCUACGGGAGGCAGCAGUUAGGAAUCUUCCGCAAUGGGCGAAAGCCUGACGGAGCGACACCGCGUGAAGGAUGAAGCCCUUACGGGCGUAAACUUCUGUUAUGAGGGAAGAAAUUUUUGACGGUACCUCAUGAGAAAGCACCGGCUAAUUCUGUGCCAGCAGCCGCGGUAAGACAGAAGGUGCAAGCGUUACUCGGAAUUACUGGGCGUAAAGCGUCUGUAGGUUUUUGAUCACGUCUGGUGUGAAAUCGCGGGGCUCAACCCCGCGCCCACAUUGGAAACGAGUCGGAUAGAGUCAUUCAGGGGCAUCUGGAAUGUCGUGUGUA
rnacentral:rRNA from 1 species